UCUAAGAGUAGCUAUAGUACCCAACUUUAACUGUUCGUCUUAUUUAAAAAUUUUUGAUUAAUAUUUUUGUUAUUACUAGAUGAUAAAAUAUGAAUGUUAUUUUAUACGUGAUUUAUGUUUUUAUUUUUUAAUUUUUUUUAAAUAAGAUAGAUAAUUAAAGUUAGAAAAAAAAUAUAACUACAGUUAAA
rnacentral:pre_miRNA from 1 species